rnacentral:RNase_P_RNA from 1 species
GCAGACAAGCAGGGCAUAGCUGGUCCAUGGCCAGAGGAAAGUCCGGGCUGCAUUGGGACGGCAUAGCGGCUAACGGCCGCGCGGGGCGACCCGACGAUUAGAGCAACAGAGACGAAGCUGAUUCAGUUCAGGUGAAACGGGCAAUCUCUAUGCGCAGCAACUUCAAAUAGGUUCUCUAUACUCAGUCCCUGGUUGAGAACGGGUAGAAGGCUUGACACUCAUGGCAACAUGACGUGCAGAUUAAUUAUGUCCGCCGCGGCAACGCGGAACAGAACCCGGCUUAUCGCUUGUCUGCAACA